CUCAUUAAGGAGCACUAAUACUGUUAUCAAUCGUAUUUCACAGAGACCGUCUGGAGGCACCAAAAGAUGGUUAUAGAAUAUGUGCAAGACUGCACAAUGUGGAAAUAAGUGAAAACAAGCAAAGGAUAUUUAUUCAGAGUGAGAGCAUCAAUCACCAUCACUUGCAUUUUAGCAGACUCCAAGGCAGGCAGAAGGGUUUUCUAGUGCAAAAAAGACGCUGAGAAAAUGAGACCAAAAAAAAGAAA